rnacentral:misc_RNA from 1 species
GUACCCUCAAGCUCUGCUUGGUGUUGGGUGUUUGUUCCGCCUCUGUGUGUGAACUCGCCUCAAAACAAUUGGCAGCCGGCGUACUUGUUUCGGAGCGCAGCACAUUUUGCGAUCCAGAUCAACGUACAGCGGCAUCCAAGAAGCCUUAUUUAACGC